CUUAAUAAAACUUUCAAAACAACAAAUGACAAAGUUAUCAAAUAGAUUCAACCAAACAAGAACCCAUAAUUUAUUUGAACCCUUGAAACUUAAAGAAAGAAAACAACUGACAUAACAAAAUCGAUGGAAGUGAAAGAAUCAACUCAAGGGAAUCAACAACAAUAAACAUUUCAAAAGAAAAAAAGAAACCAAUUUUUUAAAUAAAUAAAAAACUACAAGAGAAGAAGAG
rnacentral:lncRNA from 1 species